UCGACUACAUGUAUUAUAAAAAGAGAAAAGAAAAAAGAAAAAUACAAACAGGAAAUAUUCUAUGAUACAACAUGAAUAAGUACAUAUAAUUCUAAUUAACACAAUAUAAGUUUUUUACAAUUUCGUCUAAAUGUCGUUACGUUAUAUUGGAAUAUAUCUAGGACAGAUGCUACAACAUUGUAACAGCGGCAUAUAUUAUUUAACGGUGCAUAAUAAUGUUGGUUUGUUCUGCAUGUAUCUAUUGAAAAUGUUACAUGAUGUCGACUAUUUAGACGCGGGACUAGAAAAUGGAUAUCGUUGAGAAGUUUGGUGUUUACAAUGAUACCAUGAAUUAGCUUGAAAAGAAAAUAAAUAUUACCAAACGUUCUUCUAGCCUUUAGUGUACAAAGAUUAAAUUCUUUUAAGAGAAUAUCAUUAGGAUAUGAUCUAACUGGGUACACACCAUGUUUAAUGUAAUAUAAUCUCUUACAAAAAAAUUAAUGCAGUUUUGUGAAAAUUGUGCCAUUCAGUGUGGGUUGUAUUUACACUAGGUAAGUUAAUAUAAUUCUAAUGAAGUAAUCAUUUUAAUUUUUACAUGCUUCUGUUGUUUUUGAUAACUGUACGUAAAUAACAACAACAGUUUUUUCAGAUAAGCUGGAAAUACCACCAUUAAUCACUGAAGAUACUCCCGCUGAUUUUGAAGAACUUACGGUGAUUGUUUUUGAAAGUGAGGCGCUUUGCCAUAACAUGUUGCAAAGACUUGAAACAAAUACAAAAAAUAUGUGCGAAACAAAAGAAAUUCUAAAGGAAACGAGUGAACAAAUCUCCAAUAUGAAAACGUCAUCAAAUGUGACAAAUCAAAAAGAAAACAGUAAUAGAAGAUAUGCCGCCAAGACCACAAGUAAACAAAUUUUGAGGAAUUAGAAGAUUAUCUCUGCCUACUACAACAAGCAGGUUUCUUUGAACUGCUAUUGUCCCAGAUAGGUGGUAAUGGGAAAAUAACAAUGUAGGGCGUGUAUUAAAAAAAUAAAUUUUCUGCGAAUUUGCUGUAGCUUGUUUGUUCGGUAGGAAAAUUCCAAAAUGGCUGGGGCGAAAACAAUGAAUAUCAUGAAAGGUUUUUUUUGCAAUAAAUAUAAUUAUUACAAUUUUUAUUUUUGAAGAAAUUACAAUGAAGAUCCAUUCUGCAAUAGAAAAAGAAGUAGAACAACGCUGCUCAGAGUGGCUACGACAUUCUCGUCAACGCCUGAAGAAAGAAAAAACAACGACAGUUUACAGUUUCUGUGCCCUUUUUUAAAUGUAAAUUAUAUUGUAUUAUUUUCGAAUUAGGAAAUCAUAUAUAUAUAUUUAUUUAUUUAUAUUAUGAAUUUAUAUUAAUUUUUGUAUUUUAUUACUUAUUACAUAUUAUAUUUUUUCAAACAUUGAAUAAAAUAAUAAUUUACUGUAA